GAAAUAGACAGACGGUUGGAAAAAAAACUGAAGAUCACACAAAAGGAGAGCAGGAAAUCCAAAUCUCCUCCCAAAGUGCCCAUUGUGAUUCAAGACGAUAGCCUUCCCACGGGGCCCCCUCCACAGAUCCGCAUCCUCAAGAGGCCCACCAGCAACGGUGUGGUCAGCAGCCCCAACUCCACCAGCAGGCCAGCCCUUCCUGUCAAGUCCCUAGCACAGCGGGAGGCAGAGUACGCAGAGGCUCGGAGACGGAUCCUAGGCAGUGCCAGCCCUGAGGAGGAGCAGGAGAAACCCAUCCUCGACAGUCUGCACCUGUCUGGAGUGGGAAAGUCCAUCUCCUUCUGUCUUCUCUAGUACUAGGAGUCAGCAGCUAGCCUCGUGGUUUGGAGGGAAACAGGAGUCAGCCAGGCCAACCAGGAUCUCCCAACCCGAAGAUAGCAGGCAGCCCAGUAAUGUGAUCAGACAGCCGUUGGGUCCUGACGGGUCACAAGGCUUCAAACAGCGCAGAUAAAUGC
rnacentral:lncRNA from 1 species